rnacentral:pre_miRNA from 14 species
GGACCCCUGGGUGGUCGCGCAGAUCCCGGACGAGCCCCCAAAUGAAAGACCCCCGAAGGGAGCCCGCCCACUCAAGUCUCGG